rnacentral:rRNA from 1 species
GAUGAACGCUGGCGGCGUGCCUAAUACAUGCAAGUCGAGCGAACGGACGAGAAGCUUGCUUCUCUGAUGUUAGCGGCGGACGGGUGAGUAACACGUGGAUAACCUACCUAUAAGACUGGGAUAACUUCGGGAAACCGGAGCUAAUACCGGAUAAUAUUUUGAACCGCAUGGUUCAAAAGUGAAAGACGGUCUUGCUGUCACUUAUAGAUGGAUCCGCGCUGCAUUAGCUAGUUGGUAAGGUAACGGCUUACCAAGGCAAGGAUGCAUAGCCGACCUGAGAGGGUGAUCGGCCACACUGGAACUGAGACACGGUCCAGACUCCUACGGGGGGCAGCAGUAGGGAAUCUUCCGCAAUGGGCGAAAGCCUGACGGAGCAACGCCGCGUGAGUGAUGAAGGUCUUCGGAUCGUAAAACUCUGUUAUUAGGGAAGAACAUAUGUGUAAGUAACUGUGCACACCUUGACGGUACCUAAUCAGAAAGCCACGGCUAACUACGUG